UCGAGGAUAUUUAGCAAUGGACGAAAGUCUGACUAUGCGACGCCGCGUGCAGGAUGAAGGUCUUCGGAUUGUAAACUGCUUUUGUUAGGGGAGAAACCUGAAACGUUAAUAGCGUUUCAGCUGACGGUACCUGACGAAUAAGCCACGGCUAACUCCGUGCCAGCAGCCGCGGUAAUACGGAGGUGGCAAGCGUUACUCGGAAUUAUUGGGUGUAAAGGGCAGGUAGGCGGCUUUGUAAGUGAGGGGUGAAAUCCUGCGAUUUAAUCGCAGAACAGCCUUUCAAACUGCUUAGCUUGAGUGUGAUAGAGGAAAAUGGAAUUCUCGGUGUAAGGGUGAAAUCUGUAGAUAUCGGGAAGAACACCAACGGCGAAGGCAAUUUUCUGGGUCACAUCUGACGCUGAACUGCGAAAGCUAGGGGAGCAAACAGA
rnacentral:rRNA from 1 species